rnacentral:rRNA from 1 species
GGUUAAGCGACUAAGCGUACACGGUGGAUGCCUAGGCAGUCAGAGGCGAUGAAGGGCGUGCUAAUCUGCGAAAAGCGUCGGUAAGCUGAUAUGAAGCGUUAUAACCGACGAUACCCGAAUGGGGAAACCCAGUGCAAUACGUUGCACUAUCGUUAGAUGAAUACAUAGUCUAACGAGGCGAACCGGGGGAACUGAAACAUCUAAGUACCCCGAGGAAAAGAAAUCAACCGAGAUUCCCCCAGUAGCGGCGAGCGAACGGGGAGGAGCCCAGAGUCUGAAUCAGUUUGUGUGUUAGUGGAAGCGUCUGGAAAGUCGCACGGUACAGGGUGAUAGUCCCGUACACCAAAAUGCACAGGCUGUGAACUCGAUGAGUAGGGCGGGACACGUGACAUCCUGUCUGAAUAUGGGGGGACCAUCCUCCAAGGCUAAAUACUCCUGACUGACCGAUAGUGAACCAGUACCGUGAGGGAAAGGCGAAAAGAACCCCGGCGAGGGGAGUGAAAUAGAACCUGAAACCGUGUACGUACAAGCAGUGGGAGCACCUUCGUGGUGUGACUGCGUACCUUUUGUAUAAUGGGUCAGCGACUUAUAUUUUGUAGCAAGGUUAACCGAAUAGGGGAGCCGUAGGGAAACCGAGUCUUAACUGGGCGUCUAGUUGCAAGGUAUAGACCCGAAACCCGGUGAUCUAGCCAUGGGCAGGUUGAAGGUUGGGUAACACUAACUGGAGGACCGAACCGACUAAUGUUGAAAAAUUAGCGGAUGACUUGUGGCUGGGGGUGAAAGGCCAAUCAAACCGGGAGAUAGCUGGUUCUCCCCGAAAGCUAUUUAGGUAGCGCCUCGUGAACUCAUCUUCGGGGGUAGAGCACUGUUUCGGCUAGGGGGCCAUCCCGGCUUACCAAACCGAUGCAAACUCCGAAUACCGAAGAAUGUUAUCACGGGAGACACACGGCGGGUGCUAACGUCCGUCGUGAAGAGGGAAACAACCCAGACCGCCAGCUAAGGUCCCAAAGUCAUGGUUAAGUGGGAAACGAUGUGGGAAGGCACAGACAGCCAGGAUGUUGGCUUAGAAGCAGCCAUCAUUUAAAGAAAGCGUAAUAGCUCACUGGUCGAGUCGGCCUGCGCGGAAGAUGUAACGGGGCUAAACCAUGCACCGAAGCUGCGGCAGCGACACUUAGGUGUUGUUGGGUAGGGGAGCGUUCUGUAAGCCGUUGAAGGUGACCUGUGAGGGUUGCUGGAGGUAUCAGAAGUGCGAAUGCUGACAUAAGUAACGAUAAUGCGGGUGAAAAACCCGCACGCCGGAAGACCAAGGGUUCCUGUCCAACGUUAAUCGGGGCAGGGUGAGUCGACCCCUAAGGCGAGACUGAAAAGCGUAGUCGAUGGGAAACAGGUUAAUAUUCCUGUACUUGGUGUUACUGCGAAGGGGGGACGGAGAAGGCUAGGCUGGCCGGGCGACGGUUGUCCCGGUUUAAGCGUGUAGGGGGAGUGACCAGGUAAAUCCGGUUGCUUAUCAACCCUGAGGCGUGAUGACGAUGCACCACGGUGCAGAAGCAGUUGAUGCCAUGCUUCCAGGAAAAGCCUCUAAGCAUCAGGUAACAUUAAAUCGUACCCCAAACCGACACAGGUGGUCAGGUAGAGAAUACUCAGGCGCUUGAGAGAACUCGGGUGAAGGAACUAGGCAAAAUGGUGCCGUAACUUCGGGAGAAGGCACGCUGGCGUUAGGUGAAAGGACUAGCUCCUGGAGCUGAAGCCAGUCGCAGAUACCAGCUGGCUGCAACUGUUUAAUAAAAACACAGCACUGUGCAAACACGAAAGUGGACGUAUACAGUGUGACGCCUGCCCGGUGCUGGAAGGUUAAUUGAUGGGGUCAGCCGCAAGGCGAAGCUCUUGAUCGAAGCCCCAGUAAACGGCGGCCGUAACUAUAACGGUCCUAAGGUAGCGAAAUUCCUUGUCGGGUAAGUUCCGACCUGCACGAAUGGCGUAAUGAUGGCCAGGCUGUCUCCACCCGAGACUCAGUGAAAUUGAACUCGCUGUGAAGAUGCAGUGUACCCGCGGCAAGACGGAAAGACCCCGUGAACCUUUACUAUAGCUUGACACUGAACAUUGAGCCUUGAUGUGUAGGAUAGGUGGGAGGCCUUGAAGUGUGGACGCCAGUCUGCAUGGAGCCAACCUUGAAAUACCACCCUUUAAUGUUUGAUGUUCUAACUCGGCCCCAUGAUCUGGGGUGAGGACAGUGUCUGGUGGGUAGUUUGACUGGGGCGGUCUCCUCCCAAAGAGUAACGGAGGAGCACGAAGGUUAGCUAAUCACGGUCGGACAUCGUGAGGUUAGUGCAAAGGCAUAAGCUAGCUUGACUGCGAGAGUGACGGCUCGAGCAGGUACGAAAGUAGGUCUUAGUGAUCCGGUGGUUCUGAAUGGAAGGGCCAUCGCUCAACGGAUAAAAGGUACUCCGGGGAUAACAGGCUGAUACCGCCCAAGAGUUCAUAUCGACGGCGGUGUUUGGCACCUCGAUGUCGGCUCAUCACAUCCUGGGGCUGAAGUAGGUCCCAAGGGUAUGGCUGUUCGCCAUUUAAAGUGGUACGCGAGCUGGGUUUAGAACGUCGUGAGACAGUUCGGUCCCUAUCUGCCGUGGGCGUUGGAAGAUUGAGAGGGGCUGCUCCUAGUACGAGAGGACCGGAGUGGACGAAUCACUGGUGUUCGGGUUGUCAUGCCAAUGGCAUUGCCCGGUAGCUAAAUUCGGAAGAGAUAACCGCUGAAAGCAUCUAAGCGGGAAACUUGCCUCGAGAUGAGUCUUCCCUGGGGCUUAAAGCCCCCUGAAGGAACGUUAAAGACUAUGACGUUGAUAGGCUGGGUGUGUAAGUGCAGCGAUGUAUUGAGCUAACCAGUACUAAUGAUCCGUGAGGCUUAACCUU